rnacentral:rRNA from 1 species
AUUGAACGCUGGCGGCAGGCCUAACACAUGCAAGUCGAGCGGAUGAAGGGAGCUUGCUCCUGGAUUCAGCGGCGGACGGGUGAGUAAUGCCUAGGAAUCUGCCUGGUAGUGGGGGAUAACGUCCGGAAACGGGCGCUAAUACCGCGUACGUCCUGAGGGAGAAAGUGGGGGAUCUUCGGACCUCACGCUAUCAGAUGAGCCUAGGUCGGAUUAGCUAGUUGGUGGGGUAAAGGCCUACCAAGGCGACGAUCCGUAACUGGUCUGAGAGGAUGAUCAGUCACACUGGAACUAAGACACGGUCCAGACUCCUACGGGAGGCAGCAGUGGGGAAUAUUGGACAAUGGGCGAAAGCCUGAUCCAGCCAUGCCGCGUGUGUGAAGAAGGUCUUCGGAUUGUAAAGCACUUUAAGUUGGGAGGAAGGGCAGUAAGUUAAUACCUUGCUGUUUUGACGUUACCAACAGAAUAAGCACCGGCUAACUUCGUG